UCUAUACUCCCUCCGUCCGGAAAUACUUGUCAUCAAAAUGAAUAAAAAGGGAUGUAUCUAGAUGUAUUUUAGUUCUAGAUACAUCCCUUUUUGUCCAUUUUGAUGACAAGUAUUUUCGGACGGAGGGAGUAUUAU
rnacentral:pre_miRNA from 1 species